GUGGAAGCCAUGGUUGCCACUGAGCAACUUUCUGAGGGGUUGACUGAUAGGAGGGAGACCAUGGAAGCUGUAAAACUGAACAUCUCAAAGAGCCAGGACAAAGUGCGGAAGAGGAAAAUGGAAAGAGGACAACUUUGUGGUUGGAGACAAGGUAUUGGUGAGGAAUGUGCGACAAGAGAACAGAAAGGGUGGAAAAAUGGACCCAGACAUGCUUGGUCCAUUUACUGUUGUAAGAAUUGAAGGAAAAAUCGUUGAUGUAGUUUCAAAGAAAGGGAAAAAAAAAACAAUGACAUUUAAUACAGAUCACUUGAUAAAGUAUGUUGAGCCAGAGCCCCACAUUCCCAAAAAAUGGAUUCCAUCAAACUCUGCCAGUCCUCUUCCUCCUCCUGCCUCUCUUCCUAGUUCCACUAAUGGUCUGUCAGCACCAAACAGCACCUCCACCAAUCCAUGUUUAAAGGUACUUUCCUCACCUCGGCAUACCGCUACCCACUCAGUUGAUAGCUUCAAUGCACAGACUCAAGUGAACCCAUCAGGCCCAUCAACCCACUCUUGCUCCUCAGACACCUUUCAUGCAUCAGCAAAUUCAGAAGAAAAUGGUAAAUAUUAAAUGGUUUGCUAUUUGACCGUGCCAUAGCUCAGUAUUUUACUUUGUGAUAUCAUGUUUCUUUUAGUGAUAAAUGAGAGGGCAAAAAACAACAAGUGUUGUGGAGCAAAAUGGGCCCUUACAAGUUGUUCACAAACAACAUGAUGGAUCUGGCACCGGGCAAACAGUUAGAAAGUGAGGUAGGAUUUAAGUAUGCAUUCUCAAUUUUUGCAUGGUUACCUCUGUUAUGGUUCUUUGUGCUAGUAAUCUAAUCAUUACUUUUCAUUCUUUUUGUAAAUAGGUUGUCAAUGCUUAUCUGCAGCACCUUAAAAACAGAUUAAAUAUGUCAGGGGAGAAAAAGGCCUAUUUAAUAGAUUCAUACCAGAUGACUGCAAUCUGGAAAGGAAGCCUAAAAGGCUUGAAAGAGGUUUUUGCAUUUAAACAUAAGCCCCAAAGUAUUUCUGUAUAUUAACAGAACACAUUUUAAACUGCUGUUGCACUGUUUGAUUGUUUUUUUUUGCUUUUUUUAGCUUGAUCCAUCCAGUUAUGAUGUGCUUUUUGGGGCUGUAUGUGACAACCAUUGCACGCUCAUAGUAAGUGUCUGCAAGUUUCUUAAUAUACACAGAAGUACACGCAUUAAUAAAUUAUAAUGAAAAGUUGAAGCAAUUAUCUAAUGACAGUUGGUGUUUGUUUUAGGCAAUGUUCCCAAAACUAUCAAAGUCUAUAUAUAUAGACCCGUUCGGUGCUAAACAAGUAGCAAUUACUAAAUGCAAGGAUGUGUCAAGGCAAGUAGACAAAGUUUCUUAAAAUGAGAGGAAAGUAGCCUAUCUGUUAUACUGUAUAUAAUGUGUUAUUGCCUGUUAAUGAGUACACUUUCUAUUUAAUAGAUCUUUCAUGAGGAUGAGAGGUCUUAACAUUUCGAGGUGGUUACUCAUCCCACCCAACAGGAUUCUACAUCCUGCGGUGCAUUUGUUUGCAAACUUGCAGAGAAUCUUCUUAUGGAGGAAGAAAUUACACUCGUUUCAAAUGAGGAAGGGACUGCAUCAAUGCGCAUGGAUAUUGCAGGAACGCUUUUGAGAGAAUCUGAUGACCUUUCUCAACUGUGCCAUUACUGUGGAGAACAGGACAAAGACCAAACUGACCAAUGGGUAAAAUAAGACACUGCAAAACAUAAAUGUUGCUGUUCUCUAGUAAAAUGUAACCUAUUAUAUUUGUUUGUUCCUCUUUAGAUUGAAUGUACUGAAUGUGGAAGGUGGUACCACUGGGACUGUGUGAGCAGACCCUCCACAGCUGGCAAAUACACCUGUCCUGCAUGCAUUUAAUGCAUUUGUCCUGUGUCCUCAUAUAAAAUAUAAUAAAAAUAAAUAAACUAAACUAGAAAAGCUUUUUUCACAUUUGUCUUCUAAACUCUGGAAUAGGCUUCCUGAUAAUGUUCGGGGCUCAGACAUUCUCUCAUUUUAAAUCUAGAUUAAAGAAGCAUCUAUUUAGCCAACAUUCACAUAACCGUGUACUUGAUAAAAUGCUAAUUAUCUUUUGCCUAAAAUGCUACACACUGCAGCGACGCUAACCCUUCUUCAUUGCUUUUCUGUUUCCACCUUGGAUGGGAAUCCUGAGGUACAGGCAAAUAGAGAAGAGCUAGGAACUAAAUUGCAGCCAUUCCAAUUCGGAUCCAGCUGAAGAUUUCAGAUGACCCCAGCACCUAGAACAGAUGACAACCCCUAAACUUCAU